GACAGAGGGUGCAAACGUUGCUCGGAAUUACUGGGCGUAAAGCGCGUGUAGGCGGACCCGCAAGUCGGACGUGAAAUCCCUGAGCUCAACUCAGGAACUGCAUCCGAAACUGCGGGUCUGGAGUGGUGGAGAGGGAAGCAGAAUUCCUGGUGUAGAGGUGAAAUCCGUAGAUAUCGGGAGGAACACCAGUGGCGAAGGCGGCCAUCUGGACGGUGACUGACGCUGAGACGCGAAAGCGUGGGGAGCAAACAGG
rnacentral:rRNA from 1 species